UACGUAGGGUGCGAGCGUUAAUCGGAAUUACUGGGCGUAAAGGGUGCGCGGGCGGUUCUGCAAGUCAGGCGUGAAAGCCCCGGGCUUAACCUGGGAAUGGCGCUUGAAACUACAGGACUGGAGUAUGGCAGAGGGAGGUGGAAUUCCACGUGUAGCGGUGAAAUGCGUAGAUAUCUGGAGGAACACCGGUGGCGAAGGCGGCAUCCUGGACCGACACUGACGCUGAGGAGCGAAAGCCAGGGGAGCAAACGGG
rnacentral:rRNA from 1 species